CGAGAAAAGAGGGGGUCAAGGGCUGCGCUUGGGUGAAAAAAAUAAAUAAAUAAUAAUUAUAAUUUUUUUAUUUUUUUUUUACCCAAGCGCAGCCCUUGACCCCCUCUUUUCUCGCAUUUCUU